GUGAGGUCGGGUAUAGCAGGCUAGAUUAGCUGCAGCUGUGUUAGUUAACCAGGUUAGUUUAGCUGUAAUUUAUUACAGUAACCGGAGCCGAACAGCGCGGAAAAUAGCAGCUCCAGAAUCUUUUUACCUGCUAAAGAAAGAAGAAUAAACUGAGAAUUGACCUCCGUCCACCUGCAGCACCUGUGUUUGGUUUCUGAGCUGAAGUCUUCAUUGGACAGUCCUACCAGGGAUCCACCUCUACCUCAACUGCAGCCUAGACUUUGGGACACAGCUACUGCUGCCAAAUUUACGUAAAAGUGAACCAGCAUGAACUGAACCAUCACAUAUAGAGGCUGGAGCCGCGAGCUGCAUCCAGUACUGUUCGAUUGACGGGGGAUGUCAGUUCAGCAUCUACAUGAGGCUGACGAAUUCAUGUAAAAUUACAGGAGUGGACAUCGUAUUAGGACGUCAGGUUCACUGAAACACAGCGUUUGAGUGAGGAGAGCCUGGGAGCCGCGAGCUGCAUCCAAUACUGUUCGAUCGACGGGGGGGACGUCAGUUCAGCAUCUACAUGAGAUUGGAUGCCUUUGGCCCCUUGGCAUGCUGGCCAGAUUACAAUCACUCUGAUUAAGAACUUAGUAAGACUGGGGUAAGACUGGACCAGAGGAGGAGGAGGAGGGAUGAAGGAGGCCGGAGCUGAAGAAGAGGAGGAGGAGGAGGAGGUGGUCACUGCAUUUGGGAUGUCUGAGAGAAACGGUGGAAAUCGUAAGCAAAUUUUCAUUAAAUUCCAGCAUCUAGCACUGCUUCCAUUAGCGCUAAGUUCCUGAGUACUUUUGCUACGGUAGUUGAAGCGAUUGGGUUUUUCGAGAUUGAUGAGAUUGAGAUUGAGUUUGAUAAGAUUGAGUUUGAUGAGAUUGAGCAAAGGAUUGUCUAAGACUCAUUCCGACUCAUGCCGUCUCUUCCUUUUAAGACUUUUAAACUUUUAAGUCAAAUUUCAAAGGAUUUACACUAGAAGGACAAAAAUAAAAUUACAUGCAAUGUUUGGCACGACUGAACUCGUAGACUAGAAAUGUAGUGACAAAAUCA